AAGGGUUUGAUCCUGGCUCAGAAUGAACGUUGGCGGCGUGGAUUAGGCAUGCAAGUCGAGCGAGAAGCUACUGAUUGAAACUUCGGUUGAUUUCUUUAGUGGACAGCGGCGCAAGGGAGAGUAACGCGUGGAGACCUACCCCAGGGUCGGGCACAAUUGAGGGAAACCUCUUGUAAUACCCGAUAACGUCCCCGGACCAAAGUUUUUCGCCUUGGGAGGGUUCCGCGUCCUAUUAGCUAGUUGGUGAGGUAAUGGCUCACCAAGGCAAUGAUGGGUAGCGGGUGUGAGAGCAUGACCCGUCUCACUGGGACUGAGACACUGCCCAGACACCUACGGGUGGCUGCAGUCGAGAAUCUUCGGCAAUG
rnacentral:rRNA from 1 species